AGUCGAACGAGAAAGCCCGCAAGGGUGAGUAAAGUGGCGUACGGGUGAGUAACACGUGGAUCAUCUACCCUCUUGUGGGGAAUACCGCUGGGAAACCGGUGACAAUACCGCAUAAGCUCGAGAGAGGAAAGCAGAAAUGCGCUGGAGGAGGAGUCCGCGGCUGAUUAGCUAGUUGGUGAGGUAAUGGCUCACCAAGGCUUAGAUCAGUAGCCGGCCUGAGAGGGCACACGGCCACACUGGCACUGAAACACGGGCCAGACUCCUACGGGAGGCAGCAGUGGGGAAUCUUGCACAAUGGGGGAAACCCUGAUGCAGCGACGCCGCGUGAGCGAUGAAGCCCUUCGGGGUGUAAAGCUCUUUCGGCAGGGAAGAUUAUGACGGUACCUGCAGAAGCAGCUGCGGCUAACUACGUGCCAGCAGCCGCGGUAAUACGUAGGCAGCAAGCGUUGUUCGGAGUUACUGGGCGUAAAGGGUGUGUAGGCGGUUGGAUAAGUGUGGUGUGAAAUCUCCCGGCUUAACUGGGAGGGUGCGCUACAAACUGUCUGACUAGAGUAUGGGAUGGGAGAGUGGAAUUCCUGGGUGUAGCGGUGAAAUGCGUAGAUAUCAGGAGGAACACCGGUGGUGUAGACGGCUCUCUGGACCAUUACUGACGCUGAGACACGAAAGCGUGGGUAGCAAACAGGAUUAGAUACCCUGGUAGUCCACGCCCUAAACGAUGCAUAUUUGGUGUGGGUCAUUCAUUUGAUCCGUGCCCGAGCUAACGCGUUAAAUAUGCCGCCUGGGGAGUACAGUCCCAAGGCUGAAACUCAAAGGAAUUGAC
rnacentral:rRNA from 1 species